UACGGAAGGCAGCAGUGGGGAAUAUUGCACAAUGGGCGAAAGCCUGAUGCAGCUAUGCCGCGUGUAUGAAGAAGGCCUUAGGGUUGUAAAGUACUUUCAUCGGGGAGGAAAAACAAAACUAAUAAUUUUAUUUCUUGACGUUACCCGAAAAAGAAGCACCGGCUAACUCCGUGCCAGCAGCCGCGGUAAUACGGAGGGUGCUAGCGUUAAUCAGAAUUACUGGGCGUAAAGAGCACGUAGGUGGUUUUUUUAAGUCAGAUGUGAAAUCCCUGGGCUUAACCUGGAACUGCAUUUUGAAACUGAAAUACUAGAGUAUCGUAGAGGGAGGUAGAAUUCUAGGUGUAGCGGUGAAAUGCGUAGAUAUCUGGAGGAAUACCUGUGGCGAAAGCGGCCUCCUAAACGAAUACUGACACUGAGGUGCGAAAGCGUGGGGAGAAAACAGGGAUUAAAUACC
rnacentral:rRNA from 1 species